UACGGAGGAUCCGAGCGUUAUCCGGAUUUAUUGGGUUUAAAGGGUGCGUAGGCGGCCGUUUAAGUCAGGGGUGAAAUACGGCAGCUCAACUGUCGCAGUGCCUUUGAUACUGAAUGGCUUGAAUGCCGUUGAAGAUGGCGGAAUGAGACAAGUAGCGGUGAAAUGCAUAGAUAUGUCUCAGAACACCGAUUGCGAAGGCAGCUGUCUAAGCGGUGAUUGACGCUGAUGCACGAAAGCGUGGGGAUCGAAC
rnacentral:rRNA from 1 species